rnacentral:lncRNA from 1 species
UGUCUGAAACCCCAAGGAAGGCCAGAAGCAGCCCUGAGUCAGAGAGCAUUCUGGUUCCACACUCAGAGUGGCUGUGACCAUCAGUCCCCUUCCCAGCCUGCUCCUCCAAGAAUUAGUGUCAGAAAGUUACAAGGUGGACUUGGCACAGAACUACAAGAGUGUUCCUCUGGUCCUCCACGUAAGGACUAAGGACCAGGGAGGAUACCAGGCCGUGCUGCUGGGCUAGAAGGCUGUCAGAGUUGACUGACUAUGGAAGGCUCGGCUCUCAUCGCAUCCCAACUAGACCCACAAUGUCCCUGCUCACUCAGCCCCAACACAAUAAAUGCCUGUGACAGAGGAA